rnacentral:rRNA from 1 species
UAUGCUUGUCUCAAAGAUUAAGCCAUGCAAGUCUCAGUACAUGCCUCGCUAAGGUGAAACCGCAAAAGGCUCAUUAAAUCAGUUAUGGUUCCUUGGAUCUUAAACAGUUACUUGGAUAACUGUGGUAAUUCUAGAGCUAAUACAUGCAAACAAGUCCCGACCAGAGAUGGGAGGGACGCUUUUAUUAGAUCAAAACCGAUCGGCGUCCGGCUCCGGCCGGCGCCGUCUCUUUUGGUGACUCUGGAUAACUUUUAGCCGAUCGCACGGUCACAGUACCGGCGACGCAUCUUUCAAAUGUCUGACUUAUCAACUGUCGAUGGUAGGCUCUGCGCCUACCAUGGUUGUAACGGGUAACGGGGAAUCAGGGUUCGAUUCCGGAGAGGGAGCCUGAGAAACGGCUACCACAUCCAAGGAAGGCAGCAGGCGCGCAAAUUACCCACUCCCGGCACGGGGAGGUAGUGACGAAAAAUAACGAUACGGGACUCAUCCGAGGCCCCGUAAUCGGAAUGAGUACACUUUAAAUACUUUAACGAGUACCAAUUGGAGGGCAAGUCUGGUGCCAGCAGCCGCGGUAAUUCCAGCUCCAAUAGCGUAUAUUAAAGUUGUUGCGGUUAAAAAGCUCGUAGUUGGAUCUGUGUGCCACGCUGUCGGUUCGCCGCCUGUCGGUGUCAACUGGCAUGUCUGUGGGACGUCCUGCCGGUGGCGGUACGGGCUGUCGGCGCUGCGUAGGGGCUCGCCCCCGAAGCACGCCGGCGUGUCCCGGUCCGCCGAUCCAAUCCCGCCGCGGUGCUCUUCACUGAGUGUCGAGGUGGGCCGGCACGUUUACUUUGAACAAAUUAGAGUGCUCAAAUCAGGUCGUAUUUAGGCCUGAAUACUG